AAGUCGUAACAAGGUUUCCGUAGGUAUCAUUAACACGUAUCCAAACGUUAACCCCCCUGCUUUAGUGUGCUCGCACCUUUGUCAGAGCGUGGCAAUCCCUAGUAAAUCAUCGCCGAACAGUUUUCGAUUUAGGGACUUCCACAAAGAGUGUGUCGUAGCGAGGCAAGCUGGUGUCUGAAAGUGUCGGCGUAGUCACGAUCGUUGGAGGCCGACACGGCCGACGACCGGGUCACCGGGCUCACGCCCCUUAAUCAAUCACAACUUAAUGCAUGUCAGACGCGCCUGCGCUUAAUUGUGCGGCGACCAUAAAACUCGAACAACUGUUAACAAUGGAUAUCUUGGUUCUC
rnacentral:misc_RNA from 1 species